CCAAUAGCGUAUAUUAAAGUUGUUGCAGUUAAAAAGCUCGUAGUUGAAUUUCGGGGUUAGCAGGUCGGUCGUGCCAUCGGUAUGAACUGGUCUCGCUGAUCCCUCCCUCUUGACGAACUGUGAUGCCAUUAAUUUGGUGUCGCAGGGAAUCAGGACUGUUACUUUGAAAAAAUUAGAGUGUUUAAAGCAGGCUCACGCUUGAAUACAUUAGCAUGGAAUAAUGAAAUAGGACGUUUGAUCCUAUUUUGUUGGUUUCUAGGAUUGACGUAAUGAUUAAUAGGGAUAGUUGGGGGCAUUAGUAUUCAAUUGUCAGGGGUGAAAUUCUUGGAUUUAUUGAAGACUAACUACUGCGAAAGCAUUUGCCAAGGAUGUUUUCAUUAAUCAAGAACGAAAGUUAGGGGAUCGAAGACGAUCAGAUACCGUCGUAGUCUUAACCAUAAACUAUGCCGACUAGGGAUCGGAUGAUGUUAAUUUUUUAAUGACUCAUUCGGCGCCUUACG
rnacentral:rRNA from 1 species